rnacentral:rRNA from 1 species
CGGACGGGUGAGUAAUGUCUGGGAAACUGCCUGAUGGAGGGGGAUAACUACUGGAAACGGUAGCUAAUACCGCAUAACGUCGCAAGACCAAAGAGGGGGACCUUCGGGCCUCUUGCCAUCGGAUGUGCCCAGAUGGGAUUAGCUAGUAGGUGGGGUAACGGCUCACCUAGGCGCGAUCCCUAGCUGGUCUGAGAGGAUGCCAGCCACACUGGAACUGAGACACGGUCCAG